rnacentral:tRNA from 1 species
GUGGGAGAUGCUGAAGUGGUCGAAGCGCCGGUCUGCAAAGCCGGUCUUAGUGAGUUCGAGUCUCGCCUCCCACUCCA